rnacentral:rRNA from 1 species
UACACACCGCCCGUCACACCGUGGGAGUUGGCUUUACCCGAAGGCGGUGCGCUAACCAGCAAUGGAGGCAGCCGACCACGGUAGGGUCAGCGACUGGGGUG